rnacentral:rRNA from 1 species
CCUACGGGGGGCGGCAGUGGGGAAUUUUGCGCAAUGGGCGAAAGCCUGACGCAGCAAUACCGCGUGAAGGAUGAAGGCCCUUGGGUCGUAAACUUCUGUCAGAGGGGAAGAAAUGCCCGUAAGGGAGCUGACGGUACCCUCAAAGGAAGCACCGGCUAACUCCGUGCCAGCAGCCGCGGUAAUACGGAGGGUGCAAGCGUUGUUCGGAAUUAUUGGGCGUAAAGGGCAUGUAGGCGGAUUGUUAAGUCUGGUGUGAAAGCCCGGGGCUCAACCCCGGAAGUGCAUUGGAUACUGGCAAUCUUGGGUAUGGGAGAGGAAAGUGGAAUUCCGAGUGUAGGAGUGAAAUCCGUAGAUAUUCGGAGGAACACCAGUGGCGAAGGCGGCUUUCUGGACCAAUACUGACGCUGAGAUGCGAAAGCGUGGGGAGCGAACAGGAUUAGAUACCCUGGUAGUCCACGCCGUAAACGAUGGGUACUAGGUGUUGCGGGUAACCACUCCUGCAGUGCCGCAGCUAACGCAUUAAGUACCCCGCCUGGGGAGUACGGCCGCAAGGCUAAAACUCAAAGGAAUUGACG